GUCGGCGAGUAAUAAGACCGACACAGAAGAUAAAUGUUGUACAAAGAUCACCAAAUGAAUUUGUAUAUAAGGCAUGAUGUAAAGCAAUGUCUCUGUUCUUCUUAAUCUGAAAGCUGCGAGAUAAAGAUCUCCUGUUGUUGUCGUAGAGAGCGCGAAGGUAGCAUUCUUUUGUCGAGAUUGUGAAUUGGACGCCAUUGCGCGUGAAUGUACACAGGUCUGUAAUUAUUAAGAUAUUUAAAUGUUUAAAUAGAGUUGUUUAAAUGAAAA